AAACCCAAACCGGAAGUAGUGGACUACCGUUUCCUUAGCAACCACUUGGCGCUCCUCGAGGCAGACGCAGAGCAUAUUCAAAAGAAACUGAGCUGGAAAGAGGCAGAAAUCAAAUCAGUCCACAUGGAGUUAGAGGCCUUACGUAAACGUUUCAACUGCCCUGCUGAUCCCCAUUGUGUUCCGUGUUAUGAUCUACCGUGUGAUUGACAGAGGGUCACAAUUGUUGCGAUUGACCUGGGGUCACAAUUGUUGCGGUUGUCCUCUCCGAGUUACUACCUGGCAUAGGAAAUGCAGACUGUGUUACAAAAAAAGUUCAAGUUUGGUCUCUUAACUUUUAAAAAAAAAAUACAUGUAAAGUGUAUUCUUCA
rnacentral:sRNA from 1 species